rnacentral:rRNA from 1 species
AGUGAACGCUGGCGGCAGGCCUAACACAUGCAAGUCGAACGGCAGCACGGGGGCAACCCUGGUGGCGAGUGGCGGACGGGUGAGUAAAGCAUCGGAACGUAUCCUGGAGUGGGGGAUAACGUAGCGAAAGUUACGCUAAUACCGCAUAUUCUGUGAGCAGGAAAGCAGGGGAUCGCAAGACCUUGCGCUCUGGGAGCGGCCGAUGUCGGAUUAGCUAGUUGGUGGGGUAAAGGCCUACCAAGGCGACGAUCCGUAGCGGGUCUGAGAGGAUGAUCCGCCACACUGGAACUGAGACACGGUCCAGACUCCUACGGGAGGCAGCAGUGGGGAAUUUUGGACAAUGGGGGCAACCCUGAUCCAGCCAUGCCGCGUGAGUGAAGAAGG